rnacentral:rRNA from 1 species
UACAGAGGGUGCAAGCGUUAAUCGGAAUUACUGGGCGUAAAGCGUGCGUAGACGGUUGCGUAAGUCAGAUGUGAAAGCCCCGGGCUCAACCUGGGAAUUGCAUUUGAGACUGCGUAGCUAGGGUGCGGAAGAGGGAAGCGGAAUUUCCGGUGUAGCGGUGAAAUGCGUAGAUAUUGGGAGGAACACCAGUGGCGAAGGCGGCUACCUGGACCGGUUCUGACGCUGAGGCGCGAAAGCGUGGGUAGCAAACAGG